UGGCUCAGUUGGUAGAGCAUGGUGCUUGCAACGCUGAGGUUGUGGGUUUGAUUUCCAC
rfam:Salmo salar isolate Sally breed double haploid chromosome ssa06, whole genome shotgun sequence.